rnacentral:rRNA from 1 species
ACCGAAGGUCCGGGAAGUGGACCAAAAACAAGCCAUGCGGAUUUAGUUCGCU